UGGGGAAUAUUGGACAAUGGGCGAAAGCCUGAUCCAGCCAUGCCGCGUGUGUGACGAAGGUCUUCGGAUUGUAAAGCUCUUUUAGCAGGGAAGAUAAUGACGGUACCUGCAGAAUAAGCCCCGGCUAACUUCGUGCCAGCAGCCGCGGUAAUACGAAGGGGGCUAGCGUUGUUCGGAAUUACUGGGCGUAAAGCGCACGUAGGCGGAUUGAUAAGUUAGAGGUGAAAUCCCGGGGCUCAACCUCGGAACUGCCUUUGAUACUGUUAGUCUCGAGUCCGAUAGAGGUGAGUGGAAUUCCUAGUGUAGAGGUGAAAUUCGUAGAUAUUAGGAAGAACACCAGUGGCGAAGGCGGCUCACUGGAUCGGUACUGACGCUGAGGUGCGAAAGCGUGGGGAGCAAACAGGAUUAGAUACCCAAGUAGUCCCUGAGCGGGCUGGCAAGGCGCAU
rnacentral:rRNA from 1 species